rnacentral:rRNA from 1 species
AUUGAACGCUGGCGGCAUGCUUUACACAUGCAAGUCGAACGGUAACAGGCCUUCGGGUGCUGACGAGUGGCGAACGGGUGAGUAAUGCAUCGGAACGUACCCAGAGGUGGGGGAUAACGCAGCGAAAGCUGUGCUAAUACCGCAUGUGAUCUGAGGAUGAAAGUGGGGGACCGAGCAGCAAUGUUUGGCCUCGCGCCUUUGGAGCGGCCGAUGUCGGAUUAGCUAGUUGGUGGGGUAAAGGCCUACCAAGGCGACGAUCCGUAGCUGGUCUGAGAGGACGACCAGCCACACUGGGACUGAGACACGGCCCAGACUCCUACGGGAGGCAGCAGUGGGGAAUUUUGGACAAUGGGCGCAAGCCUGAUCCAGCAAUGCCGCGUGCGGGAAGAAGGCCUUCGGGUUGUAAACCGCUUUUGGCAGGAACGAAACGGUGUCCGCUAAUACCGGGCGCUAAUGACGGUACCUGCAGAAUAAGCACCGGCUAACUACGUG